AACACGGGUAUGCAGAUAUCUCUUCAAGGCAUUUGCUCAGUAUAUACUUGAGUGUGUCCUAUGAAGCAGACACUGCCCAGUAUUCUGGAAUAUUGAGAGGACCAGACAUAGGACCAGACAUAUCCUGGAACAUCAGACCUGGAGUGUAACUACAGAAC